rnacentral:pre_miRNA from 1 species
AUCCUAACUCGGAGCACUUAUAGCAUUUAUAAGAGCCAUACGUGCUCUCUGUUAGGAUGG